GCCGUGGCGGGAAGGUGGUACCGCCCAGUCAGCAGUUCCUCAGGAGAGGUCGUGCGGUGAGGCCUUCGACACCGUGUGGACGGAAGCCAUUAAAUCUAGGCUGCAGAGCUGGCUGCAAGGACUGUUUGCGACCUGCCGCUCUGGGUUCUGGCGUUCCUUCAGAAGGGCGGCCAUGGGCCUCCGGGAGCGCCUUGGUCUGUGGCCCGGCUGAGGAGAAGCCCCGCUCUGUCCUUUGUUCUGGGCCCUGAGCGGGGCCCUUCGCUGUUCUGCUCCGUUGAUGGCACCUGUCGAGGAGGGCGUCUCACUUUCACUUGCUCCUCAUGGUCUCAACUCGCACAGCCUGGAGGAAGUUGCCGAACAAACGUAACCUCUGCGGCAGGCCUCGCUCCCCGACCUGCGCUCGCAGCGGGGCUGGCGGCGGCCGCGCACUCACGCACGGUGGAAACGAGCACGGGGAGGUGUGAAACGGCGCCGCGGAGGAUCUCAAACCGUUCCUCACGUGACAGAACUGACACUGGUGCGGCCGAUGUGGCCUGGGAUGGAGAGUUUGGAGUGCAACGUUAGAGCCUGAUUUUUCCUGGAGACGAAACGGAGCCCUGGGCCUUUGGUUUAGCGUCUACAAGCAUCUCUGCAUAGGAAAUUCGGGAUUGUUCUUUUUACCUGGAUUUUAGUCAGUGGACCCAGAGGUGAAGCAACAAUGCGUAUGGCCAGUGAGAACCAUGAACCUCUCGUCUGAUCUCGGAAGCUAAGCAGGGUCGGGCCUGGUGGAACAACAUAAAAUCAGAAGAAAAAAAAAAUUCUUACGUGCUCUGGCAAGCAAUUUUGAGUCUGCUGCUUUAAAAAUGAUGGUAAAAUUAAAAGAUGAGAGAAAUACAUCCAAGUGACUUUAACAGUCGAAUGCUGAGCAGUAAUUACACAUCAAGUCUGGAAUCACCAAACUGAAACAUAGGCUUGUCUCUUCUUUUUAUGUGUAGUCUGAGCUCCAAGGUGUUGCCUCUUUGACUUCAAUUGUAUUUGACUCUCGCUUUUGGAAUCCGGAUAUGAUGGCAUAAGGGAGUGUCCAAGAAACCCAUGGAGAGGCCCACAAAGGAGAACUGAGAAUCAUUGCCCAGGGUCCUGGUCUAGCUCUGGCCAAUAGCGAGCACAACUGGCUAGAAUGUGAGUGGACUGUUGUGAAAGUGGAUCUUCCUGCCCCAGUGUAUGACGAGUAUUCCCUUGAACUUGCUCUUACAGCUUGCUGUGGGUUGAUGCCUACAAUUAAUACAUGCUAAUCCUGAUGCCAUCACCACUGAUGUGGUCCAGGCCCUGAUGUCUUGACUUUGAAGAAGAGUGUCUUUGCAAGUCUUGUAUCAAUGGGAUCUGGUACAUUUCAUAAACCUCUGCCUAAGGCCUGUGUUAAGACUCAGCUUUUCACCUUUAGUCUUAAAGGAGGCAGAGAUGGGCCUCACAUCUUUGUUGAAAUUCUGCAAUAUGCAAUUUGAAGUUGGAUUGACCUUCAAGCUGACGAAGUAAAAUAAACAGUUUUAUAAAUGAAAAUGGCUAAUCUGAAAUAGAUCACAGCUAAGAACUUCAUUUUUUAUUCAUUCUCUUCAUACAAGGUUGAUAUCAUACAAGUGAAGAUCUAAUAUUGUGCUUCAUUGUGGGUCUCACUGAAGAUGCAGUUAGAGGAAAUUAAGGACACAACAGACUGGCAGAAACCGGAGAAUGUGUCUGUAGUCCCUUAUA